GCAGUGGCUAUUUUGCAGGCACCGGCAAAUUAGCAAAUAUGCCAUUUUUCUCGCUCUGUAUAUUUUUGCUGAUGUAAAUUAAAUAUUUAAUCAUUUCUUUAUAUACUAUCUAUAAAUUUUACUAUUGCUGUAGUUUAUGUAAUUCUUGAUCAUUCUUAUUUUUCCACGUGUUCGUAACAGUUAGACCUAUAUUGCGUUAUGUUCCAC
rnacentral:lncRNA from 1 species